rnacentral:rRNA from 1 species
AGUGAACGCUGGCGGUAGGCCUAACACAUGCAAGUCGAACGGCAGCACAGUAAGAGCUUGCUCUUACGGGUGGCGAGUGGCGGACGGGUGAGGAAUACAUCGGAAUCUACUUUUUCGUGGGGGAUAACGUAGGGAAACUUACGCUAAUACCGCAUACGACCUACGGGUGAAAGCAGGGGAUCUUCGGACCUUGCGCGAUUGAAUGAGCCGAUGUCGGAUUAGCUAGUUGGCGGGGUAAAGGCCCACCAAGGCGACGAUCCGUAGCUGGUCUGAGAGUAUGAUCAGCAAAAUGGGAACUGAAACACGGUCCAGACCCCUACGGGAGGCAGCAGUGGGAAAUAUUGGACAAGGGCGCAAGCCUGAUCCAGCCAUACCGCGUGGGUGAAGAAGGCCUUCGGGUUGUAAAGCCCUUUUGUUGGGAAAGAAAAGCAGCAGGUUAAUACCCCGCUGUUCUGACGGUACCCAAAGAAUAAGCACCGGCUAACUUCGUG